rnacentral:rRNA from 1 species
CAUGCNAGUCGAACGCGAAAGCGGGGCAACCCGCAAGUUAGAGUGGCGAACGGGUGAGUAAUACAUCGGAACGUACCCAGUAGCGGGGGAUAACCUCUCGAAAGAGAGGCUAAUACCGCAUACGACCUACGGGUGAAAGAGGGGGAUCGCAAGACCUCUCACUAUUGGAGCGGCCGAUGUCGGAUUAGCUAGUUGGUGGGGUAACGGCCUACCAAGGCGACGAUCCGUAGCUGGUCUGAGAGGACGGCCAGCCACACUGGAACUGAGACACGGUCCAGACUCCUACGGGAGGCAGCAGUGGGGAAUUUUGGACAAUGGGCGAAAGCCUGAUCCAGCCAUGCCGCGUGAGUGAAGAAGGCCUUCGGGUUGUAAAGCUCUUUCGGCGGGGACGAAAUGGUGCGUGUUAACACCGCGCACCGAUGACGGUACCCGCAUAAGAAGCACCGGCUAACUACGUGCCAGCAGCCGCGGUAAUACGUAGGGUGCAGGCGUUAAUCGGAAUUACUGGGCGUAAAGCGUGCGCAGGCGGUCUUUUAAGUCAGAUGUGAAAUCCCCGGGCUUAACCUGGGAACUGCGUUUGAAACUGGAAGGCUUGAGUGUGGCAGAGGGGGGUGGAAUUCCACGUGUAGCAGUGAAAUGCGUAGAGAUGUGGAGGAACACCGAUGGCGAAGGCAGCCCCCUGGGCUAACACUGACGCUCAUGCACGAAAGCGUGGGGAGCAAACAGGAUUAGAUACCCUGGUAGUCCACGCCCUAAACUAUGUCAACUGGUUGUCGGGGAAGCAAUUCCUUGGUA